rnacentral:rRNA from 1 species
AGAGUUUGAUCAUGGCUCAGAUUGAACGCUGGCGGAAUGCUUACACAUGCAAGUCGAACGGUAGAGGGGGCAACCCCUUGAGAGUGGCGAACGGGUGAGUAAUAUAUCGGAACGUGCCCAGUCGUGGGGGAUAACGUAGCGAAAGUUACGCUAAUACCGCAUACGAUCUAAGGAUGAAAGCGGGGGAUCGCAAGACCUCGCGCGAUUGGAGCGGCCGAUACCAGAUUAGGUAGUUGGUGGGGUAAAGGCUCACCAAGCCAACGAUCUGUAGCUGGUCUGAGAGGACGACCAGCCACACUGGAACUGAGACACGGUCCAGACUCCUACGGGAGGCAGCAGUGGGGAAUUUUGGACAAUGGACGCAAGUCUGAUCCAGCCAUUCCGCGUGCAGGAUGAAGGCCCUCGGGUUGUAAACUGCUUUUGUACGGAACGAAAAGGUUUCCAUUAAUACUGGGGGCUCAUGACGGUACCGUAAGAAUAAGCACCGGCUAACUACGUGCCAGCAGCCGCGGUAAUACGUAGGGUGCAAGCGUUAAUCGGAAUUACUGGGCGUAAAGCGUGUGCAGGCGGUUAUGUAAGACAGAGGUGAAAUCCCCGGGCUCAACCUGGGAACUGCCUUUGUGACUGCAUAGCUAGAGUACGGUAGAGGGGGAUGGAAUUCCGCGUGUAGCAGUGAAAUGCGUAGAUAUGCGGAGGAACACCGAUGGCGAAGGCAAUCCCCUGGACCUGUACUGACGCUCAUGCACGAAAGCGUGGGGAGCAAACAGGAUUAGAUACCCUGGUAGUCCACGCCCUAAACGAUGUCAACUGGUUGUUGGGUCUUCACUGACUCAGUAACGAAGCUAACGCGUGAAGUUGACCGCCUGGGG